AUCUGUCUCAAAUGCACUUUGGAGCAGAUACCUCCAUUUAUGUUUGGAUCAUGAUAUAAUUUCCAGCCUUCCAAAGUUGCAGCUCUCCAGGCCUGACCACAUCGUUUGCAUAAGCGCUGUGCCUGAAAAAUAAUGGAUUUUCUCAGCAACACACUUUAAGAUUGUCAAUCCCUGCUGAUUCUGAACUGACAAUCAAACGACCAGUCAAAUGAAGAACUGUGUCUAAAAUCAGAGACACCUUAGAGCCAAUGCUGAGUCCUCUACGGCCAGCUUGUUAGUAACGUAGCAGAAAACUUAAAGCAUCAUAAUACAAUGAUUUUAUUUAUUUA